UGUGCGAGUGUGUGUGUGUGUGUGUGUGCGAGUGUGUGUGUGUGUGUGUGUGUGUGUGCGUGUGUUCGUGUUUUCACUUUAGCGAGCUCUGUCUUCUCUUUUCCCUCUGUAGCACUCAGAUGAAAACACGCGAUCAGAAUGCUGUUGUAACGCUACAGCAGGUCUUUCCUUCACAUAAACUGAUCUCAAUGGACUGGAAAGACAGUGAAGGUGUUUAUUCCUCAAGGAGGAGCUGAGGAGUUUGUCUGAAGAGCUGGCUCAGUGUCAGUUGCAAUGCUAGCAGGAAACUCACGGGACUUAAUCCUCCUGCACAUUGUUAAAUCCCCAGCAGGUGGUGCCUAAAAACAAACACCUGCAUUGUCAACAGCAUCUCAAACGUGUAAUCAUUAUAGACGGAGCAACCCAUAUUACUAAUAUAUCAUAAUUUCUGAGCUCAUAGCUUCCUUACAGACAUCUAAACACCGAUCUUGGUAACUGCUAAUUAAGAAGAGCCCUCAGUUACUCGCUGUACAGCAGUCAAAGCCUUACUCUGACCUGCAUCAUCAUCGUCGGCGGACUCUGUCGAGCUGUUCUUCACUCGCCUGCGGUUCACAAUUGAUUUAUGUAUUUACAUGUAUUUAUAAAGCAUCACGUAUCAUUUAUGUAAAAGGCGCAGUGCCUGUCCAUCGACUGCCAUUAACUGCAAAAUGUUUCUAGUGGACCUGAGAAUUAUCAGGCAGGCAGUUUUACUUUAUUAAUAUUUGUAUAAAUAGCACCAUUCAAUGAGUGCGCUCAUCCAGUGGGCAUUCACGGUCUGCUGUAUGAGAUAAAUAAUUCAUCAAUACGACUGCCUUUCAACAUAUCAAAC
rnacentral:lncRNA from 1 species